rnacentral:rRNA from 1 species
CCUACGGGAGGCAGCAGUGGGGAAUUGUUCGCAAUGGGCGCAAGCCUGACGACGCAACGCCGCGUGGGGGAUGAAGGUCUUCGGAUUGUAAACCCCUGUCGAGCGGGACGAACGGCCCGUGGUUUAACACAUCAUGGGAGUGACGGUACCGCUAAAGGAAGCCACGGCUAACUCUGUGCCAGCAGCCGCGGUAAUACAGAGGUGGCAAGCGUUGUUCGGAAUUACUGGGCGUAAAGGGCGCGUAGGCGGUUUUCUAAGUCGGACGUGAAAUCCCCAGGCUUAACCUGGGAACUGCGUCCGAUACUGGGAGACUUGAGUUCGGGAGAGGGAUGUAGAAUUCCAGGUGUAGCGGUGAAAUGCGUAGAUAUCUGGAGGAAUACCGGUGGCGAAGGCGGCAUCCUGGACCGAAACUGACGCUGAGGCGCGAAAGCUAGGGUAGCAAACGGGAUUAGAUACCCUAGUAGUC